rnacentral:rRNA from 1 species
UACGUAGGGGGGCAAGCGUUGUCCGGAAUCAUUGGGCGUAAAGCGCGCGUAGGCGGCCCGGUAAGUCCGCUCUGAAAGUCCAGGGCUUAACCCUGGAAAGCGGGUGGAUACUGCCGGGCUUGAAUCCGGAAGAGGCGAGUGGAAUUCCUGGUGUAGCGGUGGAAUGCGCAGAUAUCAGGAGGAACACCAAUAGCGAAGGCAGCUCGCUGGGACGGUAUUGACGCUAAGGCGCGAAAGCGUGGGGAGCAAACAGG